AUUGAACGCUGGCGGCAGGCCUAACACAUGCAAGUCGAGCGGAGCGGGGGACGGGUGAGUAAUGCAUAGGAAUAUGACUGGCAGUGGGGACUGAGGUCCGGAAACGGGACCUAAUCCCGCAUACUAUCAGAUGAGCCUAGGUCGGAUUAGCUAGUUGGUGGGGUAAAGGCUUACCAAGGCGACGAUCCGUAACUGGCCUGAGAGGCUGAUCAGUCACACUGGAACUGAGACACGGUCCAGACUCCUACGGGAGGCAGCAGUGGGGAAUCUUGGACAAUGGGCGAAAGCCUGAUCCAGCCAUGCCGCGUGUGUGAAGAAGGUCUUCGGAUUGUAAAGCACUUUAAGUUGGGAGGCGUUACCAACAGAAUAAGCACCGGCUAACUUCGUGCCAGCAGCCGCGGUAAUAC
rnacentral:rRNA from 1 species